CUCUCCCAUCCUCACACCCAAAGACAGAACAGCCCCAGCACAGAACAAUGACAAUCAUAGCUCCUGAAAAUGAGAAGCACCCAGUCUCCAGACCCAAGGCAGACGUCAAGGCUUAUUUAUGGCUUAGAGCAAGCUGAUGCCAGUUCUGAUUCAUCAUUACUGGGUGUGGAAGAUGUAUUUUUCAAAGACGACCAUACCAAUGUACAUCCCAUCCCACAUGCUCCUCUAACAAAGUGACCGUGACACUUCUUCAUCAAUAGAUGGCUUCUAUAUUCCCAUCCUUCAAAUUUGAGUGGCUUCUAAUUAUGGCAGAAAUGAUGCUUCGUGACUUCUGAGGCUGCAUUAGAAAUGGCAAUGUAACUUCCACUUGUCCUGUUGUCUCAGGGUGCUUGCCCUUCAACUCAGCCACCACGAUGUGAGUAAGCUCAAGCUAGCCAACAUGGAAAGAACACAUGGAGAGAUCCAUUCGGAAAAGAAUGGCGACCGCCUCACCUCAGCCGAUAACCAGCAUCAACCCGCAGACAUGUGACUGAGCAAGGAUUCAAAUGUCCCAGCCUCCAGCCUUCCUGCUGUCCCAGUUGCCAGUGAGUAGAGCAGAAACUAUGUCUUUUCAUCAAGUCCCACCCAAAUUAAAGAUGUCAGGGAUACAUAAAUAUUGUCAUUAACCUACCAGUUCAUCGUCAUUGUCUCAAUUUACCAAGUUUUGGGGUUGUUUGUGACACUGCAUUAGAUCGCUGAAACCCCAGGCAGGAAGCCCUGGCAGACCUCCAGACUCAGCAGGUGGGAAGCAUGAGAACAUGGGGUGAAAAAGUCUCCUAGCACAAAAUGGGCAAACCUAGACACAUUUCUGCCUCCUGAAAUCUUCCAGGUGUGUCCUGCUCCACCUCCUCUGAAAAAGUCGAUGGCUGGUGUAUAUCUGAGUCACCACAAAGUAAGAUGGCCAAAACUUAAGUGUGUGAAGUCACAUCUGGGCAAUUUUCUUUCCCAUUUCCUCUAUUGUCUGGAUAAAAUGAAACAAAAGAUGAAACAGGCUAUUGGUUUUCUACAUGAGAUCAGCAGGGUUUUUUAGUAAAAAGCCCAAUGUAAACUUACAGGUACUACAAACUGUGUCACCACAAGAGAUGAGCUGCCCUACAAGGACCAGACCCUCCAGCUCAUACAACUUCAACUGGAAAUCGUUUAGGAAUGGUUUAUAAGGACUGCUCAGUAUCAAGACAACAGGCUGUCAGGCAAGGCAAAAGAUCAUACUUCGUAACCAAAAAAGUUAUCAGUUAAAAAAAAUCAGAUGCCAAUUUUUUGGUAGAUGAAAGUAUUUGCCACUUUCUACUAUCUUCAGAUGGCAACCAAAACCUACCAUCAGUCAGCCAAGUGCCUUUUCACAGUGGGCAGGGAGAGAGAAUGAGAAAUCUUUUAAGAGGGUUCCCACACAGCUCCACAAAGCUACCCAAUAAUUCUCAUUUGGCCUGCUGGAAAGUUGUUAAUCUGUCAAAGAAAGAAGAAACUCACCAAGAAAAUAGCUGAUUCUCCAACAUGUAAGUUUUUCCAUAAUCUGACCCCUGAUUUACCAACUCAAACUUACUUCAGCCACUACCCAAUAGAGUUCUAUCAUUUCAGGCAAAGUCUUUAAAAUUCCCCCAUGGAAGGUGGGCAUUUUCAUAAAUUGCUAGUAGACUAGAAAUGUGAACAACCUCUUUAGAAGACAGUUUGGCAACAGAAAAGUUGUCUUUCAAAAAUAAUAAUCUUCCAAACAUAAUAAUCCUCAAACAUGAAAUGUUUCCAAAUUCAAGGAAUAUGGCACCCAAAACCCCUUUCUUUAAAAAAAAAAAAUUCACCAUGUUGCCCACCAAACAUUAAUUUUUUUUUUUUUUUGAGACAGUCUCACUCUGUCACCCAGGCUGGAGUGCAGUGGUACAAUCUUGGCUCACUGCAGCCUCUGCCUCCUGGGUUCAAGCUAUUCUCCUGCUUCAGCCUCCCAAGUAGCUGAAAUUACAGGCAGCUGCCAUCAUGCCCAGCUGAUUUUUGUAUUUUUAGUAGAGAUGGGGUUUCACCAUGAUGUUGGCCAGACUGGUCUCGAACUUCUGACCUAGUGGUCCACCCACCUCGGCAUCCCAAAGUGCUAGGAUUACAGGCGUGAGCCACCAUGCCCAGCCCAUUAAAUUUUUAAGAAUGAAAAGCCAUAGUAAAAAGACCAAUGGUUAACAGUACAUUGAUUAGGAAUAAAUAGGUGGAGGGAUACCCAGGGGAAAUUAGAGCUACAGAGUGUUAAAAGUAUAAAGCCUAACAAAACAAAAAUAAAACAAGCAGCAUACAUCAGAAAGCCAGGCAGGGACAAAGGGAGAAGGCACUCGAUGUUUAUCAUGUUGUCCUGUUAUUCUCAAUCCAUCCUGACUCCCAACCUUGUGAUGGUUUUCACCUCUCUUCUGAACCUAAGAGAACAAAUACUCUUAUGCUACAGAAUUACUUUUCAGAAGAUGGACAAUUUCUUUCCCUUUUGUUAAAUUCAAGAUCAAAUUGAAUGUUUUACUUUUAAAGCCAUGUUUUGUUUGAACUCAGUCUUACACAAUUAUUUCUGCCCAUCAUUUAUCUACCCAUCCUUCUGUUCCUCUCUCACAGUAUGUACAGAGGCAUGGCUGAAAUAAAUGUUAACAUUUGUUAUCUUCCGCUUGAGCUUUUUUGGGUAAUAUUUUAC
rnacentral:lncRNA from 1 species